UAUAAAUGUAGUGGAUAAUUAUCUAUAAUAAUUAUCACUUAUUUACUGAGACCGAGGGAAACAGUGUGUUUUGUGGACCCGAGACCGUCGAUGUUUCCCGAGCCGUCGAUGUUUCCCGAGGCGAAGCCGAGCGGUCCACUCGAGGGUCCGCUUUCCCGAGGUCUCAGUAAAUAAGUGUUUUAUUACACUGGCCUGUAGGCCAAGUGUCUUAAAUCCCUCUUUUUCUGUUUUUUCCUGUUUUUUUCGUAGUCGAGAAAUCGAGUUUGCGUUAGCUCAUCGCAGGCUCAGGCUGCAACGAUUAAGCCAAAAUGCAUUCGAUACUUCGGUUCCAUAAUUUAUAUACUACAGUAAAAAGUUCGUAUUUAUGUACGUAAUAGCCGGCUCAUGCCAUGCUUGUGGUACAUUUUUUGUUUAUUAGCCCAUACACUUGUUCGCACGCGCACAAUUCCAAAC